rnacentral:rRNA from 1 species
UACGGAGGGUGCAAGCGUUAUCCGGAUUCACUGGGUUUAAAGGGUGCGUAGGUGGGCAGGUAAGUCAGUGGUGAAAUCUCCGGGCUUAACCCGGAAACUGCCAUUGAUACUAUCUGUCUUGAAUACCGUGGAGGUGAGCGGAAUAUGUCAUGUAGCGGUGAAAUGCUUAGAUAUGACAUAGAACACCAAUUGCGAAGGCAGCUCACUACGCGAAUAUUGACACUGAGGCACGAAAGCGUGGGGGAUCAAACAGGAGUUAGAAAACCCGGAGU